rnacentral:rRNA from 1 species
UACGUAGGGUGCGAGCGUUUAAUCGGAAUUACUGGGCGUAAAGCGUGCGCAGGCGGUUAUGUAAGACAGAUGUGAAAUCCCCGGGCUCAACCUGGGAACUGCAUUUGUGACUGCAUAGCUAGAGUACGGUAGAGGGGGAUGGAAUUCCGCGUGUAGCAGUGAAAUGCGUAGAUAUGCGGAGGAACACCGAUGGCGAAGGCAAUCCCCUGGACCUGUACUGACGCUCAUGCACGAAAGCGUGGGGAGCAAACAGG